GACGAACGCCGGCGGCGUGCUUAACACAUGCAAGUCGAACGGAAAGGCCCUGCUUUUGUGGGGUGCUCGAGUGGCGAACGGGUGAGUAACACGUGAGUAACCUGCCCUUGACUUUGGGAUAACUUCAGGAAACUGGGGCUAAUACCGGAUAGGAGCUCCUGCUGCAUGGUGGGGGUUGGAAAGUUUCGGCGGUUGGGGAUGGACUCGCGGCUUAUCAGCUUGUUGGUGGGGUAGUGGCUUACCAAGGCUUUGACGGGUAGCCUGCCUGAGAGGGUGACCGGCCACAUUGGGACUGAGAUACGGCCCAGACUCCUACGGGAGGCAGCAGUGGGGAAUAUUGCACAAUGGGCGGAAGCCUGAUGCAGCAACGCCGCGUGCGGGAUGACGGCCUUCGGGUUGUAAACCGCUUUCGCCUGUGACGAAGCGUGAGUGACGGUGAUGGGUAAAGAAGCACCGGCUAACUACGUGCCAGCCGCCGCGGUAAAAC
rnacentral:rRNA from 1 species